rnacentral:rRNA from 1 species
GAUGAACGCUGGCGGCGUGCCUAACACAUGCAAGUCGAACGGAGAUUACGGACGGAAGUUUUCGGAUGGAAGACUGUAAUUCUUAGUGGCGGACGGGUGAGUAACGCGUGGGCAACCUGCACUAUACAGGGGGAUAGCAGCUGGAAACGGCUGGUAAGACCGCAUAAGUCGGCGAGACCGCAUGGUUUUGCCGGGAAAUGAGCAAUCAGGUAUAGGAUGGGCCCGCGUCCGAUUAGCCAGUUGGCAGGGUAAAAGCCUACCAAAGCAACGAUCGGUAGCCGGACGGGGAGGUCGGACGGCCGCAUUGGGACUGAGACACGGACCAAACUCCUACGGGAGGCAGCAGUGGGGGAUAUUGCGCAAUGGAGGAAACUCUGAUGCAGCGACGCCGCGGAAGUGAAGAAGUAUGUCGGUAUGUAAAGCUCUAUCAGCAGGGAAGAUGGUGACGGUACCUGACAAAGAAGCCCCGGCUAACUACGUG